rnacentral:rRNA from 1 species
CCCAGACUCCUACGGGAGGCAGCAGUGGGGAAUAUUGCACAAUGGGGGGAACCCUGAUGCAGCGACGCCGCGUGGGCGAGGAAGUAUUUCGGUAUGUAAAGCCCUAUCGGCAGGGAAGAAGAAAUGACGGUACCUGGAUAAGAAGCACCGGCUAAAUACGUGCCAGCAGCCGCGGGAAUACGUAUGGUGCAAGCGUUAUCCGGAUUUACUGGGCGUAAAGGGAGCGCAGGCGGCGCGCCAAGUCUGAUGUGAAACCCCGGGGCUCAACCCCGGGCAUGCAUUGGAAACUGGCGGGCUGGAGUGCCGGAGAGGUAAGCGGAAUUCCCAGUGUAGCGGUGAAAUGCGUAGAUAUUAGGAGGAACACCAGUGGCGAAGGCGGCUUGCUGGACCGUAACUGACGUUGAGGCUCGAAAGCGUGGGGAGCAAACAGGAUUAGAUACCCUAGUA